AACGUACGCUGGCGGCACGCUUAACACAUGCAAGUCGAACGAAGUAGCAAUACUUAGUGGCAGACGGGUGAGUAACAUGUGGGUAUCUGCCCUUUGGCCUGGAAUAACACGAGGAAACUUGUGCUAAUACCGGAUAAGUCUUUACGGAGAAAGCUUUAUGCACCAUUGGAUGAGCCCGCACUUGAUUAGUUUGUUGGUGGGGUAAUGGCCUACCAAGACUGUGAUCAAUAGCUGAUUUGAGAGGAUGAUCAGCCACAUUGGGACUGAGACACGGCCCAAACUCCUACGGGAGGCAGCAGUGGGGAAUCUUGCACAAUGGAGGAAACUCUGAUGCAGCGAUGCCGCGUGAGUGAAGAAGGCCCUUGGGUUGUAAAGCUCUUUCGUCGCGGAAGAAAAUGACUGUACCCGAAUAAGAAGGUCCGGCUAACUUCGUGCCAGCAGCCGCGGUAAUACGAAGGGACCUAGCGUAGUUCGGAAUUACUGGGCUUAAAGAGUUCGUAGGUGGUUGAAAAAGUUAGUGGUGAAAUCCCAGAGCUUAACUCUGGAACUGCCAUUAAAACUUUUCAGCUAGAGUAUGAUAGAGGAAAGCAGAAUUUCUAGUGUAGAGGUGAAAUUCGUAGAUAUUAGAAAGAAUACCAAUUGCGAAGGCAGCUUUCUGGAUCAUUACUGACACUGAGGAACGAAAGCAUGGGUAGCGAAGAGGAUUAGAUACCCUCGUAGUCCAUGCCGUAAACGAUGUGUGUUAGACGUUGGAAAUUUAUUUUCAGUGUCGCAGCGAAAGCGAUAAACACACCGCCUGGGGAGUACGACCGCAAGGUUAAAACUCAAAUGAAUUGACGGGGACCCGCACAAGUAGUGGAGCAUGUGGUUUAAUUCGAAGAUACGCGCAGAACCUUACCAACACUUGACAUGUUCGUCGCGACUCUAAGAGAUUAGAGUUUUCGGUUCGGCCGGACGAAACACAGGUGCUGCAUGGCUGUCGUCAGCUCGUGUCGUGAGAUGUUGGGUUAAGUCCCGCAACGAGCGCAACCCUCACUUUUAGUUGCCAUCAUUAAGUUGGGCACUCUGAAAGAACUGCCAGUGAUAAGCUGGAGGAAGGUGGGGAUGACGUCAAGUCCUCAUGGCCCUUACGUGUUGGGCUACACACGUGCUACAAUGGUAUCUACAACAGGAGGCAAGACUGCGAGGUCAAGCAAAUCCUUAAAAGAUACCUCAGUUCGGAUUGCACUCUGCAACUCGAGUGCAUGAAGCUGGAAUUACUAGUAAUCGUGGAUCAGCGUGCCACGGUGAAUGCGUUCCCGGGUCU
rnacentral:rRNA from 1 species